GACGAACGCUGGCGGCGUGCUUAACACAUGCAAGUCGAACGGAAAGGCCCUGCUUUUGUGGGGUGCUCGAGUGGCGAACGGGUGAGUAACACGUGAGUAACCUGCCCUUGACUUUGGGAUAACUUCAGGAAACUUGGGCUAAUACCGGAUAGGAGCUCCUGCUGCAUGGUGGGGGUUGGAAAGUUUCGGCGGUUGGGGAUGGACUCGCGGCUUAUCAGCUUGUUGGUUGGGUAGUGGAUUACCAAGGCUUUGACGGGUAGCCGGCCUGAGAGGGUGACCGGCCACAUUGGGACUGGGAUACGGCACAGACUCCUACGGGAGGCAGCAGUGGGGAAUAUUGCACAAUGGGCGGAAGCAUGAUGCAGCAACGCCGCGUGCGGGAUGACGGCCUUCGGGUUGUAAACCGCUUUCGCCUGUGACGAAACGUGAGUGACGGUAAUGGGUAAAGAAGCACCGGCUAACUACGUG
rnacentral:rRNA from 1 species